rnacentral:rRNA from 1 species
UACGUAGGUGGCAAGCGUUGUCCGGAUUUACUGGGCGUAAAGAGCGCGCAGGCGGUCGGAUAAGUCGAAUGUGAAAGCCCCCGGCUCAACUGGGGAGGGUCACGCGAUACUGAUCGACUCGAAGGCAGGAGAGGGUAGUGGAAUUCCCGGUGUAGUGGUGAAAUGCGUAGAUAUCGGGAGGAACACCAGUGGCGAAGGCGACUUCCUGGACCAAUACUGACGCUCAUGUGCGAAAGCGUGGGGAGCAAACAGG